ACACACAAAUAAAAGUAAAUCUGAUAUACACUGUCAUAGCGGAUUUGUAUUAAAUGUAAUCCUUUGAUUAAGCACAAUUACACUUUUUUUAGUUACAGUGUAUAUACUAAUAUACUGGUUUUGUGUAGUUUAAAAAUGGUGAAUGCACUAUGACUGCCUGAUUUUGUAACCUAAGCAAAGAAAAUGGUAUGUUGCUGGCCAAAGAAUAGCUUUGACAUGUUUGGGUAAGCUGAACUCUAUUUCAGUCCAUCUUUCCAAUAGAGCCCCAUUUCUUAAGCUGUACUCUAUGGACCACUGUCAUCUUCUUUUUGGGUUUACUCAUCUCUCUAUCUCUCUGGAAGUCAACAGUUUUAGAAUUAAAACCUACAUCUACACAACUAGCCUAUAAUGUUUGCUAGAGGCACAAAUUUAUGUUGUAACUCUCAGCAGGAACACAUAGUUCUCAGCUGGUAAUGAGUCUUCAUAAACAACACUGUCUCUAUGGGGCAAUUUAGCUUCAUUAAAAAGAAUAUAAUAGCUAUGGCUCAGAGGUGUGCAUUAAUUCACGAGAUUCUGCAGUGCAGCAGCAAAAAAGCUGGUUAAAAGAAGAAUGCGAAAAUGUGUUUCCAGUUGGUAUGUCUAUCCUUGUUGGGUUACAUAAAAUAAAGUAUCUUUCUAAAAAAAAAUGUGUCAACAGCAUUUCUGUGCAGUAAUUUACAAUUUUUCUCAUUUCUGAGAAGGAAGUCAAUAAAAGAAUUUUAGUAUAGAAAAAUGUACAUUUAAGAUUUUUUAUUACAAAAUAUAUUCUUAAAAAUAUGUUUUUUUUCUCUGCUUGUUCUCACACACAUCAUGUGGAGAUCAAUAUUUUGUUUUCAGAAGCUUAUUGCUCUGAAAGUGCAAUAAUUAAUAAGUAGUUAAAAGUACUAAAACAACAAACAAACAUGGACAUUUUUGAGUUCUUAAACAUUUAACUAACAACUUCCAAUAACACUUUUUAAAUACUAUGUGCAUAGACAUUUGAUGACAUUCAAAAUCACUAAUUUGUUUAAUUUCACUAAUACAAUCUAUAUUGUGUCACUCAAACAUAUCACAUUUCUUUCAUUCAUUCAAAUAAUCAGCUUGAAUAUUUAGCUAUAUUAAUGCAAUAUUUCUUUUCUUUUUUUUUUUUUGGAAUGUAAACUGAUGUUUCUGAAUCAGAGAAGCCUACACAAUUUUUGGAAAUUUGAUAACAUAAAUAUACUAAAUAUGUAAAAUGUUAUAAAAUUAGUUAUAAAAGACAAUGUAGAAAUACAAAUAAAAAUAGUGAGUGCUGAUUAUUGUACUAUUGAUUUAUUGUGGGGAAGCACAUUUUUUUUAAGCUUCGCAAAAUAUAACAAUAAAAAAGUGUGCCAUCAGAAAAAUGCACGGGUACAUUUCUUAACUAAAAUAUUUUAUAUCAUUAAUAUUUUAAAAUGACUAAAAAAAAUGUAAUACUUGCAAUAAUGUGAUUAUAUUUGUGUGUGCAUGUGUCAUCUCUUGACAUCUAUAAUACAACUAAAACUUGUUUUAAAAACUGACAAUAAAUGUUCACAUUAAAAGAAAAACAGCAACAGGAAUUCCCCCCCCCCC